UGGGUCUGAGGAGUUUCACUGCCUCUUUGGCCUCCAUGUUGAAGGCCUGAGUGUAGACCUCCUGGACCCCAUUCAGCAAGGAGGUUCACUAAGGGACUCCAUCACCAGGAGCUGAGCCAUAGCACACGCAGAGGGUUUUGCCCUUCUCCCCUGGUCCUCCCAGGCUGCAGGUGUACCUUUUUCCUUGAUGAUUCCUUUCCCUUUUCUUCAUCACACAUGCACAAAUCCUUUUAACCCUCUGCUACCUGCUACUUGCUUGGCAAACGGCCUUCUCAUUCUUGAGUUCAAGAAUCUCCUCUUGCUGAGUAAUCCUACCUCUCUAAUAGGCCCCAAAAGAUUUUUCUUUCUAAGAGAAAACAAUGUGGGAAAAUGUCUCCAAGGAAAGGAUGGCACCUCCUUUGGUUCCCCAAAGUUAGAAUUAAAAUAGUGACUACCAUGAAAGAUAAUGCAGAAUUCAAGCUUCUUGGCCCCAAUUAAGGGUCAUUGGUUUCCUCCUGGCUUGCAACUUCAAAACAAUGACAGGCUGAGUAAAACUUCAUCCUGUAUAGAUAACCACAUUUUCUUGAUCCAUUCAUCUAAGGCAUUCUUCUCAUAGGCAAUUUUUUAAAAACUUAUUUAUUUAUUUUACAGUAAAAUGCAUUUUGACUUAGUGUACACAAAUGGAGCGCAGCUUCUCAUUCCUCUGGCUGUACAUGGUGCAGAGUCACUCCAGUAGUGUAAUCACACAUCUAUGUAGGGUAAUAAUGUCUGUCCCAUUCUACUGUCCUUCCCAUCCCCUCAGCCCAACUCCUCCCCUCACUCCCCUCUGCACAAACCAAAGUACCUUCAUUCUUCCCUAUCCCCUCACCCCACUGUGGUCGGCAUCUGAUUAUCAGAGAAAACAAUUGGCUACAUGGUGAAGUUUUACUCAGCCAUAAAGAAGAAUGAAAUUAUGGCAUUUGCUGGUAAAUGGAUGGAACUGGAGAACAUCAUUCUAAGUGAAAUAAGACAGACCCAGAAAGUCAAGGAUUGACUGUUUUAUAUGUGGAAGCUAGACCAAAACAAGGG
rnacentral:lncRNA from 1 species